rnacentral:pre_miRNA from 1 species
UUGUUGUGUAGAUAUGGAUUUCUAUGUUAAAUGUUUGUCCGUCGGUCUUAUUUAAUUAUUUAUGAUUAAUAUUUUUAUUGUUGUUAGAUGAUAUAAUAUUAAUAGUACUUUAUACAUGACUUACUUUUUUAAAAAAUACGAUGGAUGGUUAAAUGUUGGACAUAUAAACCCACAACUAUACUUAAA